GACGAACGCUGGCGGCGUGCUUAACACAUGCCAGUCGAACGGAAAGGCCCUGCUUUUGUGGGGUGCUCGAGUGGCGAACGGGUGAGUAACACGUGAGUAACCUGCCCUUGACUUUGGGAUAACUUCAGGAAACUGGGGCUAAUACCGGAUAGGAGCUCCUGCUGCAUGGUGGGGGUUGGAAAGUUUCGGCGGUUGGGGAUGGUCUCGCGGGUUAUCAGCUUGUUGGUGGGGUAGUGGCUUACCAAGGCUUUGACGGGUAGCCGGCCUGAGAGGGUGACCGGGCACAUGGGGACUGAGGUACGGAGCAGAAUACUACGGGACGCAACAGUGGGGAAUAUUACAGAGUGGGCGGAAGCGAGAUGCAGCAACGGCGGGUGCGGGAUGACGGGCUACGGGUUAAAAACCGAUUUCGACUGUGACGAAGAGUGAGUGACGGUAAUGGGUAAAGAAGCAACGGCUAACUACGUG
rnacentral:rRNA from 1 species